UACGAAGGGGGCUAGCGUUGUUCGGAAUUACUGGGCGUAAAGCGAGUGUAGGUGGUUGUCGUAGUCAGGCGUGAAAGCCUUGAGCUCAACUCAAGAAAUGCGCUUGAUACUGGGCAGCUAGAGGACCGGAGAGGAUAGUGGAAUUCCCAGUGUAGUGGUGAAAUACGUAGAGAUUGGGAAGAACACCAGUGGCGAAGGCGGCUAUCUGGACGGUUUCUGACACUAAGACUCGAAAGCGUGGGGAGCAAACAGG
rnacentral:rRNA from 1 species